UUAAAGAGAGCGGAUCGAGUUCGAAGCUUCUUUACAUUACUAACCAUGAAACCGAUUACAUGCUUACUGAUUGUAUUGGUGCUAUGUCAGCUGUGUAUGACCACAUCAGCAGCCAAGCUGUUCAGCAAUGAGAAUGUGAAGAAAGUGAAAGACAUGGCCAAAGAUCUGGGCUCGAAGAUGAAGGACGAAGCCAAGGACUUUGUAAAGAAAGUCAAAGACAUAGAUGUCGAAAAACGCUCUAUAGCUGACAAAGUACGCCUGUAAAGAAAAGCCUUCAACUGUAUGAAAAAAGACUUAUUGAAUAAAGAUUGACAAGAUAUUGAUAGCAUCCGAUAAUGUAGUUAUUGAGUCUUAUUAAUGAUCCUGUACCGGUAAAACUAGAAGGACUGUUCUGCAGGUUCAGGACCAGUGAUCGGAUUUACCUAGAGUUCGGAUAUCGGUACUUAGUCUAUGUUUAUAAAACUAUACGAAUUUUGCAUUAAAAUUGCUUUUAAAACAAAAUUUGUGUAUAAUAAUAUAAAGUAGCUAUAAUAACCUAAGUAAACUUAAAUUAAAUUAUACUUUUAUUCACAAAAAAGGUAAACAGCAAAAAGACAAAUCAUUUUUUAAAAAAAUUAAGAGUGUUUAUUUGGUCUUGUGAAAUAAAUCAUCUUCCGAUAUGAUACUUUAACUUAUCUCACUUAAAUGCGACACGAACGAUUGAAUAUUGUCAAACGUUUUGGAGAAAUCUUUUGUUCUUUAGUACACAGCAAGUAAAGAGAGAUUCAUAGAAUAAA